AUAUUAACAAUAUUUGUUCGAGAACAUAAAGUUAGAAGAAAGAGAGAAAAAAAAAGAUGGUUGUGACAAAUAGCAUGGGUAUGAAUAUGGGCAUCAAAUGUUGCGUGAAGAAGGAUGAUCUUUUUACUCCUUAUCAAUUGGGAAAAUUCAAUCUAUCUCACAGGGAAAUUUAUAAUAUGAGUUAGUAGGCGCUCAAGGCGUAUGCUAGAGACGACGUCCUGUCUGUGAACUUUCGGGAGCACGUCUACACCGACUGAUUUUUUGAGGAGGCGGUGCUCCCUAGAUUGGCUCGUCCGAGGAGGAGAGUCUGAGGUGUUUGAGCCCCCACGCAUGUCCAUUUGCUACCAAGGGUUUCAUGGCCCCAUUGAGGAGGCGAUCCCUCCGGCUCCCGCAGAGUGGUAGUUGGUGGAGCGAUCCAUCCCUCGUUCUACGAAACUAACCAUUCACUAUGAUGUUUGAGAUUACUGGAACACUUUUUUGUUUGUUUUUUUGAUUUAAUUCAGGUUAAAAUUAUUAUUCCAUGUCUAUUUAAUUGAUGUGACCAAAAACACAUCAAAUGAAAGUAUAUUGGCCUUAGUCUAGAUGACCAAA